rnacentral:rRNA from 1 species
UACGUAGGGUGCGAGCGUUGUCCGGAAUUAUUGGGCGUAAAGAGCUUGUAGGCGGUUUGUCGCGUCUGCUGUGAAAUCUCAAGGCUCAACCUUGAGCUUGCAGUGGGUACGGGCAGACUAGAGUGUGGUAGGGGAGACUGGAAUUCCUGGUGUAGACAGUGAAAUGCGCAGAUAUCAGGAGGAACACCGAUGGCGAAGGCAGGUCUCUGGGCCACU